AAAAAAAAAGGUUUAAAAAAUUUACAUAACGUUGCAUCAUGUUAUUUUUAACUCAUAAACUGAAACACCAUUCUAAAAUAAACUCCGUAGGAAUUCCAGAGGAAACGUCAUAAGUGAACAGGAUAUAAUGUAUAAAUACAUAAGGUUACUACAUAGGCUGCAUAUAAAUAAACAUCAACAAACUCUUUGGAAAUUGUCUUGAAGAAAGUGCCACACUGAUCAUAAACUAUGACGUUUCACUUCUUUUAUUAAUAACAUCUCAAAAGCCACAUGGUUUCACUUUUUUGUCAUUCAGAUGCGUGGGGUGAGAGUAAAGACAUACUUUAGCGAUCAGUUCUUAGUUCAGUCAACAAUAAAAAGCGAGGGGAAUUUCAAGGAAUAAAACUCUCCUUUCGCUCCACACUCUCUUCCCACAAUGGUAGGAGCGUGAAAAUCGUCAGUUGUAGAGAGAAAAGGGACACAUCUCGACUGCAAAGCCACAGAAUCCUUUUGGUUGUCUUCGGCGAGAGAUUUCUCGCUGACUUGCGCCGAAAAGUGUAUCGUAAAUCAUCAGAGGGAUUUCGUCGGGGGGAGAAAACAACAACAAAUGGCCAACACAGAUACAGAUGUGCAGAGGAGGUGUCAGAGGAUGACAAAGGCAUCCCGAUGUACAAACAGCAAAGUGUGAGCAAUACCAAGGUCAUGGGUUCAAUUCCCAUGGGAAUUGCAAUGUAUGCAAAGCAAUGGUUAACAUGCCAAAGACCUGUGAGAGAGAAACAGAGGUCAACAACGCUCACAAAGUUCCCUGGUAGACAUUUAGGAAACAGUUUUAAUAGCAUAUCAUUACCUAUCAUUAUCAUAAUAUCCAUAUAAUAUCAUAUAAAAGAAUAAAGUGCUGAAAGACACGUUGUGUACA
ensembl:lncRNA